rnacentral:rRNA from 1 species
GACGAACGCUGGCGGCGUGCUUAACACAUGCAAGUCGAACGGUAAGGCCCUUCGGGGUACACGAGUGGCGAACGGGUGAGUAACACGUGGGUGAUCUGCCCUGCGCUUCGGGAUAAGCCUGGGAAACUGGGUCUAAUACCGGAUAGGACCACUGCCUGCAUGGGUGGUGGUGGAAAGCUCUUGCGGUGUGGGAUGGGCCCGCGGCCUAUCAGCUUGUUGGUGGGGUGAUGGCCUACCAAGGCGACGACGGGUAGCUGGCCUGAGAGGGUGACCGGCCACACUGGGACUGAGAUACGGCCCAGACUCCUACGGGAGGCAGCAGUGGGGAAUAUUGCACAAUGGGCGCAAGCCUGAUGCAGCGACGCCGCGUGAGGGAUGACGGCCUUCGGGUUGUAAACCUCUUUCAGCACCGACGAAGCGCAAGUGACGGUAGGUGCAGAAGAAGGACCGGCCAACUACGUGCCAGCCGCCGCCGUAA